rnacentral:rRNA from 1 species
UACUAUACUAAGUUAUUGUUGUAACUAGAAUAUUAUAAGAUAAAGUCUUCAAAUUCAAAGAAUUUGGCGGUAAUUUAGUCUUUCCAGAGGAAUCUGUUUUUUAUCGAUAAACCACGAAAAAUCUUACUUAUUUUAUUAAUAUAAAAAGUUUGUAUACCGUCAUUAUCAGAUAAUAUUUAGAGGUUAAAUUAUUAAUCUUUAAAAGUAAUAAGAAAAAUUAGAUCAAGGUGCAGCCUAUAAAUAAGUUAAAAUGGAUUACAAUUAAUUUAAUGUAAAAUGGAAUUUAGUCUGAAAUAGCUAAAGGAAGGAGGAUUUGGUUGUAAAAGAGAUUAACAUGAUAAAAAGAUAUAAGCUCUAAAUUAU